CGAGUCAAACAAUCCCAUGAUGCAACUGGACUGGUGCGGACGAGCUCCAGAAAAAAAACAAUAACAACAAAAAAAAACGCGGAAGAUAGCGUCGGCUCUUUUUAAGUAUUAAACCUUGGUUAAACUGGACUUGUUUAAUAAUACCAGAAUAAAUUGUUAACUUGUUUAAGAUUGUUGUGUUUAUGGUGACGUCGAAGGUCACAUGACAAUGCUAACAUGGCCGAUGUAGUAUGUAUUUGGCCGGGAUUGUGUUCAUAACACACACAGAUUAGUACGAAUGUCAUAGUAUGCGAUUUUGGACGCACCACGAUGACGUCGAUUUCUGAACCAAUGCACCCCUCUCGGACUCUGAUGCCUCAGCCCAGCUCCUUGGGUCAAAUGAACUCAGUGCGGACUGUUUGACUUCGCCUCAGGUGAAUGGUUUUUGAGAUGAGGAAACCAAACGACCACAGCUUUUCAAAUGGAUGGGAGCGGGACUCUUGUCUUCCCAGAUGGCAGGGAGAUUUGUAAGAAGAUGCAUGAACUCCAAUUCUUACAUCUUACAAAUGUUUAAAUGGUUUUAAUAAAUGUCACCUGAAUUUCAUGCAAUUGUUUGUUUAUUUUGUGAGUAUUUUAGUAAAAUUUUAACAUGCAAACAAACUGCAUUUUAGGAUAAUUGUAGGGAAAAAUGUAUAAACAACACAUCUGCGUUAUUUGUGGAAAUGUUUAACACAGCAUGUUUGAGUGAAGAUUCGUAGCAAUAUAUUUAUCCAUAAAACCGUUAGUGUACACUAGAAAAGCAAAACUGUAGGAUAACAGUCCAGUUUACAUGACACUAAAUGCACUGCUAUCUUCAUUAGCAUUAGCUAACUUGUUUGUAAUGCUCACUGAAUCGUAAGUUGGUUACUCCGUUGUUGUUUUUUUGAUGUUUUAAACGUCUCCUUUGAUCAAACUCUGACAUUUUCAUUUUAAAGAUAUGACUUUUUGAGUCAUUUACUCCAAAGUAUAUAUAUAAACACUACUUUAGCAGCUCUAGCAAUGUAUUUCUGAACACCUUCUCG
ensembl:lncRNA